AUGGCGUCGUUCUCGGAGGCGCCCCCCGGGAACCCCGCGGCCGGCGAGAAGAUCUUCAAGACCAAGUGCGCCCAGUGCCACACCGUCGACAAGGGCGCCGGCCACAAGCAAGGGCCUAACCUGAAUGGUCUGUUUGGGAGGCAGUCUGGCACAACUGCUGGAUACUCUUACUCUACGGCCAACAAGAGCAUGGCUGUGGUUUGGGAGGAGAAAACACUGUAUGACUACCUGCUUAAUCCGAAGAAGUACAUCCCUGGAACUAAGAUGGUGUUCCCUGGACUGAAGAAGCCCCAGGAGCGUGCUGACCUCAUUGCAUACCUGAAGAGUGCCACAGCUUGA
rnacentral:rRNA from 1 species